GACGUAGGUGGCGAACGUUAUCCGGAAUUAUUGGGCGUAAAGGGUGCGUAGAUGGCCUGAUAAGUUAGCAGUGGGAAAUCGAGGCUCAACCUCGUGGAAGCUGGUAAUACUGUCAGGCUCGAGUGCAGGAGAGGUUAACGGAACUCCAUGUGGAGCGGUAAAAUGUGUAGAUAUAUGGAAGAACACCAAUAACGGCGAAGGCAGUUAACUAUUCUGUUACUUACAUUGAGGCACGAAAGCGUGGGGAGCAAAACGG
rnacentral:rRNA from 1 species